rnacentral:ncRNA from 2 species
CGGGACCGGGGUCCGGUGCG